AGUGAACGCUGGCGGUAGGCCUAACACAUGCAAGUCGAACGGCAGCACAGGAGAGCUUGCUCUCUGGGUGGCGAGUGGCGGACGGGUGAGGAAUACAUCGGAAUCUACUCUGUCGUGGGGGAUAACGUAGGGAAACUUACGCUAAUACCGCAUACGACCUACGGGUGAAAGCAGGGGACCGUCGGGCCUUGCGCGAUUGAAUGAGCCGAUGGCGGAUGAGCUAGUUGGCGGGGUAAAGGCCCACCAAGGCGACGGUCCGUAGCUGGUCUGAGAGGAUGAUCAGCCACACUGGAACUGAGACACGGUCCAGACUCCUACGGGAGGCAGCAGUGGGGAAUAUUGGACAAUGGGCGCAAGCCUGAUCCAGCCAUACCGCGUGGGUGAAGAAGGCCUUCGGGUUGUAAAGCCCUUUUGUUGGGAAAGAAAUCCAGCUGGCUAAUACCCGGUUGGGAUGACGGUACCCAAAGAAUAAGCACCGGCUAACUUCGUGCCAGCCGCCGCGGUAA
rnacentral:rRNA from 1 species